rnacentral:rRNA from 1 species
GGGGGAUUAGUGGCGAACGGGUGAGUAACACGUGAGUAACCUGCCCUUAACUCUGGGAUAAGCCUGGGAAACUGGGUCUAAUACCGGAUAUGACUCCUCAUCGCAUGGUGGGGGGUGGAAAGCUUUUUGUGGUUUUGGAUGGACUCGCGGCCUAUCAGCUUGUUGGUGAGGUAAUGGCUUACCAAGGCGACGACGGGUAGCCGGCCUGAGAGGGUGACCGGCCACAUUGGGACUGAGACACGGCCCAGACUCCUACGGGAGGCAGCAGUGGGGAAUAUUGCACAAUGGGCGCAAGCCUGAUGCAGCGACGCCGCGUGAGGGAUGACGGCCUUCGGGUUGUAAACCUCUUUCAGUAGGGAAGAAGCGAAAGUGACGGUACCUGCAGAAGAAGCGCCGGCUAACUACGUGCCAGCAGCCGCGGUAAUACGUAGGGCGCAAGCGUUAUCCGGAAUUAUUGGGCGUAAAGAGCUCGUAGGCGGUUUGUCGCGUCUGCCGUGAAAGUCCGGGGCUCAACUCCGGAUCUGCGGUGGGUACGGGCAGACUAGAGUGAUGUAGGGGAGACUGGAAUUCCUGGUGUAGCGGUGAAAUGCGCAGAUAUCAGGAGGAACACCGAUGGCGAAGGCAGGUCUCUGGGCAUUAACUGACGCUGAGGAGCGAAAGCAUGGGGAGCGAACAGGAUUAGAUACCCUGGUAGUCCAUGCCGUAAACGUUGGGCACUAGGUGUGGGGGACAUUCCACG